rnacentral:snRNA from 1 species
GUACUUGCUUUGGCAGUAUAUAUACAAAAAUUUUAGAUACACAGAGAUGAUUAGAAUGGCUGUGCGCAAGGAUGACAUACUUAGCGAUCUGUGUGAUACACGCGUUU